rnacentral:lncRNA from 1 species
UGAAAAUGCCAAAUUUUCUAUUUUAAAAGACACAAAAUAGAAAACAGUUUUUAGUUACUAUAACGUGUUUUCUAGGUUUUUUGUUUUAAAGAAUAAAAAACUGUUAUCAAAUAAGACAAUAAUAUCUUGUUUGAUUUAUCAAGAAAAGCUUAGACAAAAAUAAAAUCAAAUAAAAAUAAUUUAAAAAUUCAUAUAUUUUUAAAUUAUACAUUACCUAAAUAAAAAAAAAAAGAGAAAAAAAUUGGAAAAAUAUAGAAUAAAGAUUUAUUUGGUUUAAACUGACAUAUCAGUUUCCCUCAUCUUUCUUAAAUUUUCUAAUAUCCAAAUGGAAUACAAAUGAAAUCCAUUGAUGAGAGAAUGAGAUGACUCUAGGCAACUAAAAGAAUGCUACUUAAACUGUGUUUAAAACCUUUUAGAAUUACUUUUAUGGACAAUUUGUGGAUACUAAAAAGUUGUAAGUAUUUUUGGAAGGAAAUAACUUCAAAGCAGUUUUUUUAUUUUUUAUUUUAUAUUUUUAUUUUUUUACGAAAGUAAAACGUUAAAAAUCUAAAGAAUGAUUUAAAAUAACUUUUGAACUAAUGUUUGGCAAGUGAUUUUUCCUUUUUUUUUUUUUUUUUUUUUGGGGAUUCCAUUACAUAAUGGAAGUGCUUUGAAAACAUUUUUUAUUGCAAGUGUUAGGAGCUAAAUGUACUGUCACAAGAAUCACUCCCAAGUCCAACAGACCUCAUUGAUCUCAUGUAUGAUUUUUCAGAAGGGAGAAAUGAUGAAUACCUUGGAUCAGAAUUCCAUCUCUGCGAAUUUGAAAGGCAACCCUAAUUAGUAGCCAACAAAGGCUGAGCCAAUCCAUUGAAACAAUCAGCAGUAGUCUCUUGCUCAUCAGCUUCUCUCUGCUCUCAGCCAUUGACGGAAUGGAAGCUUGUCCUUAACCUUACUGACUUCAAUUUUAUUGGGUUGCUAUGCCUCCAAUGGGAAAGCUUCACGGAAAGGUCUUUUCACAUGGCCCUUCUUUUCACCAAACGCCUUUUCAAAACUGCACAAAAUUUCGCCCAUCUUUACUUCAGUACAUGGUCCAUAUAUGACAAAAGAAUAUACAAGGCUCCAUUAUUGGCUACAGAGUGGAGACCCCAAUCAUCGUGUCAAGUUGCUCUCGAGUAAAACAAUGACAGCUCAUUGAGAAAGACCAUUAGUCGCUGGAUUCCAUGUGUGGAAAGUUUGAACCCAUUCCACCCUCCAUGUGAUAGCCAUCAACCCUACUAGCAAGUCAUCGUCAAGAGCCAGUGAACUGGAGCUGGAUGGUGGUGCAAUAGGAUAAAAGGCGGCUUUCUUCAAACUUCAGAUUCUUCAAGGUUAUAAUCUCAUCACCAUAAUCAUUAAUUACCACUUGGUGCUUAAUUUUGAUUUAUUGUUUGUUCUAGUCUUUCUGCAUUUCUCUUAACUUUGUUUGGUUUCUGGGAUAAUUGUAUUUGUAGAAACAGCUGAGUGCUAAACCUUUGGAGUUGAGAUCAAAAUUCAACCUUAAACUACCCUUUUUGUGCAGGGAAGAAGGUGAGAUAUGGCUUUGGAGAUUGUGUGUUUCGUUAUCCAUGUUGGGGAGAGGCUGUGGUCUUCAGCGACUGGUCCAGUGAGUAAUCUGGUGAACUAUAGGAAAAAUAUAAAGAAUCUCAAUGAUGAAGUUGAGAAGCUAGAGAUUAUCAGAAGCGAUAAUCGACUUUCAGAGAGGGCCGCCCAGAUGAAUGGAGAAGAAAUCAAAGGCGAGGUUCAGAUGUGGCUGAACAAAUCUGACGCUGUCCGCAGAGGGGUUGAGAGAUUGAAUGGUGAAGUCGACAUGAACAGGACAUGCUUCGGUGGGUGCUGUCCUGAUUGGAUAUCGCGUUACAAGUUAAGCAAGCAAGCCAAGAAAGAUGCACAUACUGUUAGGGGGCUCCAAGGGACGGGAAGAUUUGAAAGGGUUUCGCUCCCAGGACGACGGCAACUGGGAAUCGAGUCGACGCUGUCAUUUGGGGAUUUUCAGGCAUUUGAAUCGACCAAAAGGGCGAUGGAUGAGGUCAUGGUGGCCUUGAAAGAAGAUCGGGUGAAUAUUAUUGGGGUCUAUGGAAUGGGGGGUGUGGGCAAAACAACCAUGGUGAAACAGGUGGGUGCAAAUGCUCACAGAGAUGGGCUGUUUCAGCAUGUUGCAAUGGCUGUGAUAUCCCAGAAUCCGGAUUUGAGGAAAAUUCAAGCCCAAAUUGCAGAUAUGUUGAACUUGAAGCUAGAAGAGGAGAGUGAAGCUGGGAGGGCAGCAAGGUUGAGGGAGAGGAUAAUGAGAGGCAAGAGUGUUCUCAUAAUCUUAGAUGACAUAUGGAGAAGAAUUGACUUAUCUGAGAUAGGAAUUCCCAGUACUGGCAGUGACCUUGAUGCCUGCAAAUCCAAAAUCUUACUGACCACAAGGCUUGAAAAUGUGUGUCAUGUCAUGGAAAGCCAAGCAAAAGUCCCUCUGAAUAUUCUGUCUGAACAGGAUUCUUGGACCUUGUUUGGGAGGAAAGCAGGGAGAGUAGUGGAUUCUCCUGAUUUUCAUAAUGUAGCACAGAAGAUUGUCAAAGAAUGUGGAGGCCUCCCAAUUGCUCUGGUGGUUGUUGCUAGAGCAUUAGGCGAUAAGGACUUGGAUGAAUGGAAAGAAGCUGCAAGACAACUAGAAAUGUCCAAGCCAACAAACCUGGAUGAUGAUGGGGGUGUUUUCAAAUGUAUAAAACUGAGCUAUGACUAUUUGAAAGGCAAUAGCACCAAACCAUGUUUUCUGAUUUGUUGUUUGUUUCCAGAGGACACGGACAUCAGCAUCGAAGACUUGGUGAAGUACGGAUUGGGGCAAGGGCUGUUUCAAGAGGCCAACACAAUCGAAGAGGCAAGAGGCAGAGCACGUUCUGUUGUCAAGUACCUCAAGGCUUGCAGUCUGUUGUUGGACAGCACAGAGGAGGGCGGUGUGAAAAUGCAUGACGUUGUCCGCGAUAUGGCUAUACUACUCGUAUCAUCUGAAGACAAUAAUGCCUUUAUGGUGCAAUCUGGUAGCGCCUUAAAGGUGUGGCCGACAAAGGACAGCUAUGAAGCCUACACAGCCAUCUCACUCAUGUCCAACGAAAUCGAGGAGCUCCCUGAUGGGCUAGUAUGCCCCAAGCUUCAGACAUUGUUAUUACAGAAUAACAAUGAUAUACAAGAGAUCCCAGAUGACUUUUUUGGAAGCUUCCACUCCCUGAGAGUCUUAGACCUCAAUGGUGCUGACAUCCCAUCACUACCCCCUUCGCUUGGACUCCUGAGAAGCCUUAGGACGCUAUGCCUAGACUGCUGCCAGUCAAUAACAGACAUAUCCAUACUGGGGAAAUUGGAGAAACUUGAGAUUCUUAGUCUCAGAGAAUCCUACAUUGAGGAUUUGCCAGAAGAACUGGCCCAGCUGGCCAAUCUGAGGAUGCUGGAUUUCACUAUGAGUAACAACAUCAAAUCAAUUCCUCCUAAAGUGAUAUCAAGCUUGUCCAGGUUAGAAGAGAUGUACAUGCAGGGUAGCUUCGCAGACUGGGGUCUGCUGCUUGAAGGAACAUCAUCAGGAGCCAACGCCGGUUUUGAUGAGCUAACGUGCUUGCAUCGCUUAAAUAUCUUGAAGGUAGACAUCUCUGAUGCUGAGUGCAUGCCUAAAACUGUGAGGUUUGAUCCAAACUGGGUAAACUUUGAUAUAUGCAUAAGCAGGAAGCUGUUCACCCGGUUCAUGAAUGUGCAUCUGUCAAGAGUUACAGCUGCUCGAUCAAGAGCCUUGAUUCUCGAUGUCACCAUCAAUACCUUGCCAGACUGGUUCAACAAAGUGGCCACUGAAAGAACCGAGAAACUAUACUACAUAGAAUGCAGGGGUCUAGACAACAUUCUUAUGGAAUAUGAUCAAGGAAGCUUAAAUGGCCUCAAGAUCCUCCUUGUCCAGAGUUGCCAUCAGAUAGUACACCUCAUGGAUGCAGUAACAUAUGUUCCAAACAGACCUUUGUUCCCUAGCUUGGAAGAGCUGCGUGUUCACAAUCUUGACUACUUGAAAGAGAUCUGCAUUGGGCAACUUCCGCCUGGAUCGUUGGGGAACAUGAAGUUCUUGCAGGUGGAGCAGUGCAAUGAGCUGGUGAAUGGGCUGCUGCCGGCUAAUCUGUUGCGGAGACUAGAGAGUCUGGAAGUCCUUGAUGUGAGUGGGAGCUAUUUGGAAGACAUAUUUAGGACUGAAGGACUCAGGGAAGGAGAAGUUGUGGUGGGAAAGCUGAGAGAACUGAAACUGGAUAAUCUACCUGAACUGAAGAAUAUAUGGAAUGGCCCUACCCAGCUUGCAAUAUUCCACAAUCUGAAGAUUUUGACAGUGAUAAAGUGCAAGAAACUGAGGAAUCUAUUCACAUACAGUGUGGCUCAAAGUCUCAGAUAUCUGGAGGAGCUGUGGAUUGAGUAUUGCAAUGGUUUGGAGGGAGUUAUUGGGAUGCAUGAGGGUGGAGAUGUAGUGGAGAGGAUCAUUUUCCAGAACUUGAAGAACUUGUCCUUGCAAAAUCUUCCAGUGCUCAGAAGCUUUUAUGAAGGAGAUGCAAGAAUUGAAUGCCCAUCCUUGGAACAACUGCAUGUGCAGGGCUGCCCAACAUUUAGGAAUUACUCACCUUAUUUCCACAGUACAAACCAAUUCCAAGUAAACAAUGAACAACACUUGCUCCUCCUGCGAAAAAGGUAUGGUUUAGUAAUAAUGUUAGAUUUUUUUUUCCCCUAAAUUUUCUAACUUUUUUUUUCUUCUUAUUUCCUACUUUUUUUUUUUGUCAUAAGGUUGUGGGAGGAGAGAACUUUCCUAGAAGAAAAUUUAUGAAUCGGCGAGCAAAAGGGCAAAGGAGGUUGGAACCAUUAUGUUCAUCAAGCUGAUUUGGGUCCAGUAAAUACAUAUACAUAUAUACAUACAUAUAUAGGUGUGUGUAUAUAUUACAUACAUGCAUACAUACGUAUGUGUAUAUAUAUAUAUGUUUGUGUGUGUGUAUUAGCAAAUUUUCAAUUGGAUAUUUGCCAAUUAAGAAGUUGACGAUUGAAACUUGAGAUGCUUUAAUCCUUGAAGUGUUCUAUUCAUCACCCUUUUGGUUUUGAUUGCCAUCUCUAGUUACGCUUAUAGUGAACCUUCCCUUGAAAUAUGCUAUUAGACUCCAUAAUUUGCCUAAUUUUUCCAAAAGAUUUUAUGCAAAAAAAAAAAAAAAAAAAAAAAACCACGAGCUUUUAAGGUCCACAAGAACUCCAAAAAUUCAAAUAGAAAUAAACCAUAAGUCAAGCUCAAACCCAAAAGUUCUUUCAAGAAAUUAAACACAACUACAGAAGUAUACUAUUUUGCUCCCAUAAAUUCACUUAUAUAUCACAAAUAAAAGAUGCAGAUAUGUACAUGGAUCUAAAUACAAAUUUCAUUUCCAUCUUACAAAAUACACAAUCUCUUGAAAAAUCUCCAAAAUACAACCAUUCAAUAAAUUAAGAUCCCAACAUAGUAAAAAAGGGAACCUUCAUCCUUCCAAUUGGAACAUGUAUAUAUAUAUAUUUGGAUGCUAGCUCCCUUUUCUAUCAUUGGUUUUUUAACAUGAGCAACUUGCUAUCUUUCAGAAGGAUUCUUUCUACCUUGAGAAGUAUAUGGCUUUUACACAUAUGAAACAUAGCACAAUUAGGUAAUACACAUUCAUGACAUGAAUUGUAACAUAAUUUAAACAUCACAUAAUUAGAAGGGUGCAUUGUGGUUCUAAGGUUUUCAACUAAAGAUACUAGUCCAUGUCUAAUACACUCCUUAUUGAUCCAAACUUGAAAUCUCCUCUCUUCUCAAUUUGCCCUCUUUAGGAUCUUUUCAUCUCUCAUUUUUAUUUUAUUUCCGAUUCACACUGUCUUAUCAUUUUUUCAGUUUCACACAAUAUGAAUGCACUUAUAUGUACAAUGAUUUUUUUUGUCCUAAAAUAAUCUCAUAUCGAACACAUAAUAGACAUAUAUUCAUCUCAUGUAGCAAGUGAAUCAACAUAUUAAACAACUAUGAGUCAAUAAUCAACAUCUAGAGAGAAUAUUUUCAACAAUCAACAAUAUUAUAACUAUUAGAAAUACAUACAAAGAGAAGUAGCAACACAAGUCUAAAAUUUUUGAAAUAAAAGUUAAACAACUUCUCGAAUUUGGUUAAAGCAUGAUAAGGCAUGAUCCUUAAAGUAGUUCCAUGCUCCUAUGAGAUUGUGUCUUGGCACAAUAGGAUAACAAUGGACAUUCUACCUCCAGGAUGCAACAACCAAUGUUACUUGUAGAGGUACACUACUUUGUAGAGUAGAGAUGAUAGCUUUGGAUGCUUUACUCUUCCAAGGACUUGAGAAGAGUGGUAGAAGGAAAGAGAAAAACCACUUAAGGAUAGAGUAACAAAAAGAGCUCACAAGGCUUCAAAGGAGAGAAGCUUUGAGAUGGGAUGAAGAAAUACCUAGACUACAACUCUAUUUAUAAGCUCUCAAGAUUGGCUCAAAUAGGUAGAAUAUAUGAUUGGAGGCAUGAUUGAUCCAACUAAUUAGCUAAUUGAUUUCAACCAAUUGCUAAUUAAUUAAGCCAAUCGAGGAGGAAAUUGUUUUUUGUUGAGUCCAUUAAGACAUUUGUUGACCAAUAAAAAUGAAUUAAAUGAUUUCAAUCAAUGGCUAAUUAAGCCUAUUAAACAAUUGUUAAUCAAUCAAAAGUUUUACACAUACACUUUCCAACCAUUCCUCACAUUGUGCAUGAGUGGAGUAAUAAUAGAGGAUGACUGGAGGAAGCAUAUACUAGAAUCUAAUGAAUAAGAACAGAUGCCCUUGGGUUAUGAGCCAACCUUAGAAUAAGUAGGUUGUGAGCCAUAAAAAUAUGGUGAAAGUUAAAUCUGCAAUGAACCAGAAUUUCUUUAUGUGAGACAAGGAACCUAUUAUCCACAUUGGUUUCUCAAGUUAGAGUUGUCCAUAAUGUGUUGAUGUGAAUAGGCCAUAGAUCUUACUUGAAUAUUUAUGAGAGCUCUAUAGACCUUGCCUAAGUUCUCAUAGGAAAUGACCCAUUUCUAUACUCAUAUAGGUGAAUCUAUCAAGCAUAUCCUGCAAUUAUAAACACCACUAAUAAGUGAAAUGGUAUUCACUAAGAUAUGUACUCAUCUUCAAUCAUUGUAGAAUACACUCCACCUACACCUUAGUGAUGGAUUCUCAUAUAUAAGUAGUUGAUAGACUAUUUCAUAGUCAAUAAGUCACUUGCUAUUACUUACACGAACCUGCUUCCUUUGAUCUCUAUUAAUGUAAGUUGGGUUACUUAUGAGGACUCAAAUUCAACACUUCAAUGGGCUUUAUAGAACCUAUUUUAGUGUAUUUGGGAUACUUUUAUUGUUAGUGUCUAAGCAAGUUGCAUUUGAUUAUUUUUGUGUUUGUUUUGUAUGUUUUAGGUGCAAACUAGAUAUUAAAAUCAAUGGAACAAAGUAUUUUGAGCUUUAAUGGAGAUUGUGGGAGAGGUUUCAAGACUUGUGGUUGUUAAAGAAAGCAAGUUUAGAAAGAAGAAAUAGUUAAACAAGACCUUGUUCAAGCUUGCAUAAAUAAAUUGGCAAGGAAAAGGCUUGAACAACCUCGAGCAAGAAGAGUUUGACAAGGCGAAGCUCGAGUAAAGAAGGAAUCCUGCCUAGAAGAGGCUUAAGCAAGUAUGAGCAAAGUGAGCUACACUUAAGCCAACCAUGACCUUGCUUAUGUGGCCUCACAUAAUAGGCCAUAACAAGCAUGAACACCUCUAAGCAAGUUUGCCAGACCAGAUCUGUAGAACAAUUCAAGUAGCCAUGUAGCCUCACACAAAAAGCUUGAGCAAACAUGACCACCUUUAAGCAAGUUUGCUUGAGCAGAUUUAGAACAAUUCAGGUAGCCAUGUAGCCUCACACAAAAGGCCUGAUCGAAAAUGAACACGUUUAAGUAAACAUAUCUUAGCACACUUGGGUAAUUUCAAGUAACACUCAAACAUCCACAACUUUGUUUAGACAACUUUUAGCAAACAUUACCUAGUUUGAACAACCUUUAAGGGUACUUACUUCAAGGCAUAUGGCCACCUCUAGAGUUGACAUGUGGUAGCAAAGCGGUAAGAUACACCAACCCUAGGCUGCCAUGUGAUAACUAAAGUGGCAAAAAAAAAAAAAAAUCAUUAUUUUAGCUUUUCUAAGAAUGUAUCGACUUAUUUGGUUGAGUAUAAAAGGAAAAUUCUCAGAUUUCAAUAGUAGGAUUCCACUAUUACAGUAAGAGUAAAAGUAGGUUAGUGAAGCUAUUUCAUCGUAGGAGUAGUAGGUCAGAAAGGCUACCAAAGCUUAUGAUUUUGACUUUUAUCUUCAUUCUAUAAUUAAUAUUUUGAGUUUAUUUUUGUUUCAGAAUCUAAGCAUAGUUAACAUUUCUAGUUGAAUCUUCUAGUACAACCAUUAUUUCAAUUUGUAGUUUAUUAAUGAAAUGUUAAUUUUUUAUUUCUAGUUUUUAAAUUUGUAGUUUCAAUUUUUUAAUUUUUGAAUUUCUUCUAUCUUGAAAUUUCAAUUUUGUUCCAACUUAAUUUCUUGCUUUGCUUGUUUUAUUUAUUUAUUUUUUGUUUUCUUUUGUUUUGUGUGUAUGUGUGUGUGUGUUUUUUUUUCUAUGUUAUUGUUUUUCAAUUUCAAUAUCAAUAGUUGGAUUUCUUAAGACACUGAGAGAGUGAGGGAAGAUGAGGUAAAUCAUACAGUAUUUUAGUCCUUUAAUGUCCUAAACUGAUUGUGUUGAGGUUAUGGGAAUUCUAGAAAAGGCAUGCGUUUGCUGACUAGUUGUGAGGGCUAAAAGACAAGCAACCUUGGGAGUGGAUUUCAAUUGUGUUGAUAUGGGUUCACUUGAGCUAAACGCUAUCAUUUCAUUUUGGAUUCAUUAUAUGAACCUAAUGCCAAAAACACUGGUUUAGUAAUAUAUUUCCCCUCAACCUUAGGUCAAAAGCAUCUAGUUUAGGAGAAUGAUUUAAGCUAAGGGUGAUUUCCUUUAUGGAUCUUUGCCUUUGGUGUUUGAUUGUUUUCAUAUGUUGAUUUUGGAAAAUUUUAUUAUUUAUUUUUCAAUUUCCCUUUAUCUUUGUUAAGUUUCCUAAGUUGUCUCCACUUGCAAAGCCAUUCACUUUGAAUAACCCAUUUUUUAUAUCUCUCUGAUUGAAAUCAUUGGAUCCUUGUGGGUUGGACCCCAUACUCAUUGGGUCGGGUACUAUUUUGAAGGUUCUUAAGCUCAGUAACACCCACAAAAAUAAAAAUUUUAGUGGGUUUUAAAAGCUCUAAGGUUGUAAUCUUCUUUAAUAAUAGUGGAAGUUUUGUUUUUGUCUUCACCCAUGGAUGUAAACUUUAAGCUGAAAUAUGUAAAUCGUCAUGUGUUUUUUAUUUUUGUAUUCUUAUUUCUCUUUCUUUGUUAUUAUUCUUGGUCAUGGUUUUUCACAACAAACUGGUAUCAAAAUACAUGUUAUUAAACUUGAAAUGACAAUAGAGUUUGAGCUUGAGAAGUUAUUUAAAUUUAUGGUACGUUAAGAUGCGUGCCUUAUUGGUUUAAUUAUGAUUGUCCAAAACAUUGAAGGGUAGAGAGACCCUAUUAACAAUGAUGUAUGAUGAAGAGAAAGAUGAAUUUAUGAAGAAAACAUAUAAUGCUAUCCUGUUGUAGAAGAGGAUAGAAUUGCCAAGUUAUGGUUGAAGUUAAAAAGUCUACAUAUGACGAAAUCUUUUUCAAAUCGCUUGUAUUUGAAGAAGUUAUCCACUCUUUAAAUGAAAGAAGAUACAUCUAUUAAAGACCACAUUGAUAAAUUUAAUAAAACUAUCACGAAUUUGAUGUUAAAAUUAAUGAUGAAGAUCAAACCAUAAUUUUAAUGUAUUUCUUAUUGAAUUCUUAUAAGCACUUUAUGAAUACUAUGAUAUAUGGUAGAGAUACUCUCUUUAUAGAGGAUGUUAGAUUAACCUUGAAUUCAAAGGAGUUGAAGAAGAGGGUUUUUUGAUAGUAGAAAAGAAAACUCGGGUGAAGGUUUGGUGAUUAGAGGGAGAAAAAGAAACGUUAUUAGAAAUAUUUCCAUAAACAUUUUAGAUAGUGAAGGGAAAAGGUUAUGACAUGAAGAUGAGUUUGUAAAGAUUACACGAAAUGGAUAAAUAUGAGAGAAAGAAUGAGAGACAUAUGAUAAAACAAAGGGAUGUAUAGUUGCGGAUGUAAAUACAAAGAGUGGGAAAAUAUGUAAUGUUUCGAGAAUCUGAUAGCUGCAUAUGAUUUUUGUCAUAUGUAAUAUUCUCUAUGGUAUAACAAAAAGAUUCAUUCUCAUCCGUAGAUAUAUGUAUGGUUAGUCAAACAACGUUAAAACCUCAUGUACUUUUGUAUGAAUUAUUUUAUCUUUAUAUUUCUAAACUAAUAUUAUUUGCAUUAAAACCUCUAGGGGCAACAAUUUAGUAUUAAAACAAGUUUUUUAGUUGUAAUUUUUGUACAAAAAUUGUAUCAGCUCAAUUUUAGCUCAAACUGAAAGAAUCAAAAUAAACUAAGAAGAAUUAAUGUUGAGUCAUAUUGGAGUUUAGGUGAAUAAACAAAUUAGUUGAAUUUACUUAAAUUUGACCAGCUCAUUCGGUUCUUGGUGGAUUGAUUAAAAACCAACCAAAAUCGUAGAGUGUCAACUUUUAUUAAUCAUAGAGUUAUUAGAGACUACCAUGCUUUGUAUGCGUGGAAGGAAUCAAUAUUUUUUGCUUUGACUGGACAUCAAAUAAAACAUAAAACAUAAAAACUAACAUAGGGCCUAUUUGGUAACUAUUUUUGAAAAUAGUUUUGAAAAAUAGUUUUUGAAAAAAGUUUUGAAAAUUGUUUUAUGAUAUUUUGUAGAACAAAAAAUUGUUUAGAAAUUUAAAAUAUUUUUAACUUGUUUUAAAUUUUUUAAAAUAAUUUUUAUUUGUAGUGCUUUCAUCCUUAAUGUUUGUACAAUUAUUUUUUAAAACAAUUAUCAUAAAAUAAGUGAAAAUAACUAAAAUAUGUUAUCUGAAAAUACCAAAUUUUCUAUUUUAAAAGACACAACAUAGAGAACAGUUUUUGGUUACUAUAACAUGUUUUCUAGGUUUUUUGUUUUGAAGAAUAAAAAACUGUUACCAAACAAGGUCAUAAUAUCUUGUUUGAUUUAUCAAGAAAAGCUUAGACAAAAAUCAAAUCAAAUAAAAGUAAUUUAAAAAUUCAUAUAUUUUUAAAUUAUACAUUACCUAAAUAAAAAAAAAAAAGAGAAAAAAAUUGGAAAAAUAUAGAAUAAAGAUUUAUUGGGUUUAAACUGACAUAUCAGUUUCCCUCAUCUUUCUUAAAUUUUCUAAUAUCCAAAUGGAAUACAAAUGAAAUCCAUUGAUGAGAGAAUGACAUGACUCUAGGCAACUAAAAGAAUGCUACUUAGACUGUGUUUAAAACCUUUUAGAAUUACUUUUAUGGACAAUUUGUGGAUACUGAAAAGUUGUAAGUAUUUUUGGAAGGAAAUAACUUCAAAGCAGUUUUUUUAUUUUUAUUUUUUUACGAAAGUUAAACGUUAAAAAUCUAAAGAAUGAUUUAAAAUAACUUUUGAACUAAUGUUUGGCAAGUGAUUUUUCCUUUUUAUUUUAUUUUAUUUAUUUUGGGAUUCCAUUACAUAAUGGAAGUGCUUUGAAAACAUUUUUUAUUGCAAGUGUUAGGAGCUAAAUGUACUGUCACAAGAAUCACUCCCAAGUCCAAUAGACCUCAUUGAUCUAAUGUAUGAUUUUUCAGAAUGGAGAAAUGAUGAAUACCUUGGAUCAGAAUUCCAUUUCUGCGAAUUUGAAAGGCAACCCUAAUUAGUAGCCAACAAAGGCUGAGCCAAUCCAUUGAAACAAUCAGCAGUAGUCUCUUGCUCAUCAGCUUCUCUCUGCUCUCAGCCAUUGACGGAAUGGAAGCUUGUCCUUAACCUUACUGUCUUCAAUUUAGUUGGGUUGCUAUGCCUCCAAUGGGAAAGCUUCACGGAAAGGUCUUUUCACAUGGCUCUUCUUUUGACCAACCGCCUUUUCAAAACUGCAAAAAAUUUCGCCCAUCUUUACUUCAGUACAUGGUCCAUAUAUGACAAAGAAUAUACAAGGCUCCAUUAUUGGCUACAGAGUGGAGACCCCAAUCAUCGCGUCAAGUUGCUCUCGAGUAAAACAAUGACAGCCCAUUUGUCGCUGGAUUCCAUGUGUGGAGAGUUUGAACCCAUUCCACCCUCCAUGUGAUAGCCACCAACCCUACUAGAAAGUUAUCGUCAAGAGACAGUGAACUGGAGCUGGACGGUGGUGCAAUAGGAUAAAAGGCGGCUUUCUUCAAACUUCAGAUUCUUCAAGGUUAUAAUCUCAUCACCAUAAUCAUUAAUUACCACUUGGCGCUUAAUUUUGAUUUAUUGUUUGUUCUAGUCUUUCUGUAUUUCUCUUAAUUUUGUUUGGUGUCUGGGAUAAUUGUAUUUGUAGAAACAGCUGAGCGCUAAACCUUUGGAGUUGAGAUCAAAAUUCAACCUUAAACUACCCUUUUUGUGGAGGGAAGAAGGUGAGAUAUGGCUUUGGAGAUUGCGAGUUUCGUUAUCCAGGUUGGGGAGAGGCUGUGGUCUUCAGCGACUGGUCCAGUGAGUAAUCUGGUGAACUAUAGGAAAAAUAUAAAGAAUCUCAAUGAUGAAGUUGAGAAGCUAGAGAUUAUCAGAAGCGAUAAUCGACUUUCUGCGAGCGCCGCCCAGAUGAAUGGAGAAGAAAUCAAAGGCGAGGUUCAGAUGUGGCUGAACAAAUCUGACGCUGUCCUAAGAGGGGUUGAGAGAUUGAAUGGUGAAGUCGACAUGAACAGGACAUGCUUCGGUGGGUGCUGUCCUGAUUGGAUAUCGCGUUACAAGUUAAGCAAGCAAGCCAAGAAAGAUGCACAUACUGUUAGGGAGCUCCAAGGGACGGGAAGAUUUGAAAGGGUUUCGCUCCCAGGGCGACGGCAACUGGGAAUCGAGUCGACGCUGUCAUUGGGGGAUUUUCAGGCAUUUGAAUCGACCAAAAGGGCGAUGGAUGAGGUCAUGGUGGCCUUGAAAGAAGAUCGGGUGAAUAUUAUUGGGGUCUAUGGAAUGGGGGGUGUGGGCAAAACAACCAUGGUGAAACAGGUGGGUGCAAAUGCUCACAGAGAUGGGCUGUUUCAGCAUGUUGCAAUGGCUGUGAUAUCCCAGAAUCCGGAUUUGAGGAAAAUUCAAGCCCAAAUUGCAGAUAUGUUGAACUUGAAGCUAGAAGAGGAGAGUGAAGCUGGGAGGGCAGCAAGGUUGAGGGAGAGGAUAAUGAGAGGCAAGAGUGUUCUCAUAAUCUUAGAUGACAUAUGGAGAAGAAUUGACUUAUCUGAGAUAGGAAUUCCCAGUACUGGCAGUGACCUUGAUGCCUGCAAAUCCAAAAUCUUACUGACCACAAGGCUUGAAAAUGUGUGUCAUGUCAUGGAAAGCCAAGCAAAAGUCCCUCUGAAUAUUCUGUCUGAACAGGAUUCUUGGACCUUGUUUGGGAGGAAAGCAGGGAGAAUCGUGGAUUCUCCUGAUUUUCAUAAUGUAGCACAGAAGAUUGUCAAAGAAUGUGGAGGCCUCCCAAUUGCUCUGGUGGUUGUUGCUAGAGCAUUAGGCGAUAAGGACUUGGAUGAAUGGAAAGAAGCUGCAAGACAACUAGAAAUGUCCAAGCCAACAAACCUUGAUGAUGAUGGGGGUGUUUUCAAAUGUAUAAAACUGAGCUAUGACUAUUUGAAAGGCAAUAGCACCAAACCAUGUUUUCUGAUUUGUUGUUUGUUUCCAGAGGACACGGACAUCAGCAUCGAAGACUUGGUGAAGUACGGAUUGGGGCAAGGGCUGUUUCAAGAGGCCAACACAAUCGAAGAGGCAAGAGGCAGAGCACGUUCUGUUGUCAAGUACCUCAAGGCUUGCAGUCUGUUGUUGGACAGCACAGAGGAGGGCGGUGUGAAAAUGCAUGACGUUGUCCGCGAUAUGGCUAUACUACUCGCAUCAUCUGAAGAAGAUAAUGCCUUUAUGGUGCAAUCUGGUAGCGCCUUAAAAGAGUGGCCGACAAAGGACAGCUAUGAAGCCUACACAGCCAUCUCACUCAUGUCCAACGAAAUCGAGGAGCUCCCUGAUGGACUAGUAUGCCCAAAGCUCCAGACAUUGUUAUUACAGAAUAACAAUGAUAUACAAGAGAUCCCAGAUGACUUUUUUGGAAGCUUCCACUCCCUGAGAGUCUUAGACCUCAAUGGUGCUGACAUCCCAUCACUACCCCCUUCGCUUGGACUCCUGAGAAGCCUUAGGACGCUAUGCCUAGACUGCUGCCAGUCAAUAACAGACAUAUCCAUACUGGGGAAAUUGGAGAAGCUUGAGAUUCUUAGUCUCAGAGAAUCCUACAUUGAGGAUUUGCCAGAAGAACUGGCCCAGCUGGCCAAUCUGAGGAUGCUGGAUUUCACUAUGAGUAAUAACAUCAAAUCAAUUCCUCCUAAAGUGAUAUCAAGCUUGUCCAGGUUAGAAGAGAUGUACAUGCAGGGUAGCUUCGCAGACUGGGGUCUGCUGCUUGAAGGAACAUCAUCAGGAGCCAACGCCGGUUUUGAUGAGCUAACGUGCUUGCAUCGCUUAAAUAUCUUGAAGGUAGACAUCUCUGAUGCUGAGUGCAUGCCUAAAACUGUGAGGUUUGAUCCAAACUGGGUAAACUUUGAUAUAUGCAUAAACAGGAAGCUGUUCAACCGGUUCAUGAAUGUGCAUCUGUCAAGAGUUACAGCUGCUCGAUCAAGAUCCCUGAUUCUCGAUGUCACCAUCAAUACCUUGCCAGACUGGUUCAACAAAGUGGCCACUGAAAGAACCGAGAAACUAUACUACAUAAAAUGCAGGGGUCUAGACAACAUUCUUAUGGAAUAUGAUCAAGGAAGCCUAAAUGGCCUCAAGAUCCUCCUUGUCCAGAGUUGCCAUCAGAUAGUACACCUCAUGGAUGCAGUAACAUAUAUUCCAAACAGACCUUUGUUCCCUAGCUUGGAAGAGCUGCGUGUUCACAAUCUUGACUACUUGAAAGAGAUCUGCAUUGGGCAACUUCCGCCUGGAUCGUUGGGGAACAUGAAGUUCUUGCAGGUGGAGCAGUGCAAUGAGCUGGUGAAUGGGCUGCUGCCGGCUAAUCUGUUGCGGAGACUAGAGAGUCUGGAAGUCCUUGAUGUGAGUGGGAGCUAUUUGGAAGACAUAUUUAGGACUGAAGGACUCAGGGAAGGAGAGGUUGUGGUGGGAAAGCUGAGAGAACUGAAACGGGAUAAUCUACCUGAACUGAAGAAUAUAUGGUAUGGCCCUACCCAGCUUGCAAUAUUCCACAAUCUGAAGAUUUUGACAGUGAUAAAGUGCAGGAAGCUGAGGAUUCUAUUCACAUACAGUGUGGCUCAAAGUCUCAGACAUCUGGAGGAGCUGUGGAUU